rnacentral:rRNA from 1 species
GCCUAUGGCCAUACCACCCUGAACGCACCUGAUCUUGUCUGAUUUCGGAAGCGAAGCAGGGUCGGGCCUGGUUAGUACUUAGAUGAGAGAAUUUAGCGCUCGAACACUAUUGCUGUCGAUG